UGAGGGAGAAGAUGAGGGGGACGAGCGAGAGAGUGAGUGAGAGAUCGGAGAUGAGGGAGAAUGACCGGCGACUUCGCCAGAAUAGGGGGCGGCGGUGGAGGUUCUCUGUGUGAGAACGAGAAGGAGCGAGAGAGUGGCGAGAAGAAGAGAGAGUGAACGAAGAAGAGAGAGGCGCAUACACGUGUUUUCUAUAAUUUGUUUUUUAUUUUUAUUUUAAUUUCGAAGCGUAAUAUCUACAUGGCGCUUGGCCGGACACGUUAAAUACCAGUUGCCGAAUUAUUUUUGCGGGCCACAAAUAAGAAAAAAAUGAAACGAUG
rnacentral:lncRNA from 1 species